rnacentral:rRNA from 1 species
UACGCAGGUGGCAAGCGUUGUCCGGAUUUAUUGGGUUUAAAGGGUGCGUAGGCGGUUUUUUAAGUCAGUGGUGAAAUACGGCAGCUCAACUGUCGAGGUGCCAUUGAUACUGGGAAACUUGAGUACUGAUGAGGUAGGCGGAAUGGACGGUGUAGCGGUGAAAUGCUUAGAUAUCGUCCAGAACACCGAUAGCGAAGGCAGCUUACUAAGGAGUAACUGACGCUGAGGCACGAAAGUGUGGGGAUCAAACAGG